GCUGGGUGUGGUGGUGCAUGCCUGUAAUCCCAGUGGCUUAGGAGGCUGAGGCAGGAGGAUCACAAGUUCAAAGCCAGCCGCAGCAACUUCGUGAGGCCCUGAGCAACUCAGCAAGACUAUGUCUCUA
rnacentral:sRNA from 1 species